UGUGAAGGGCAAACCGGGAGCGAUCCCGGGACGCAAAGCCACGGACCUUUCGGGUUCAUAGAGUUGCUUGGGUUCAUUGGGUUGAACCCAAAGAACCCAGAACUCAAAGAACAAAGGGACUUGAAAAGGCAGCCGGGCUGCCG
rnacentral:ncRNA from 1 species